CCUACGGGUGGCAGCAGUGAGGAAUAUUGGUCAAUGGGAGGAAUCCUGAACCAGCCAUGCCGCGUGCAGGACGACGGCUCUACGAGUUGUAAACUGCUUUUGUACCGGGGUAAAAUGCUCUACGAGUAGGGUUUUGAAAGUACGGUACGAAUAAGGUUCGGCUAACCCCGUGCCAGCAGCCGCGGUAAUACGGAGGAUCCGAGCGUUAUCCGGAUUCAUUGGGUUUAAAGGGUGCGUAGGUUGUUUUAUAAGUUAGCGGGGAAAUACCGAUGCUAAAGGUCGGAGCUGCCGCUGAUACUGUAGGACUAGAGUGCGGAUGCAGCAGGAGGAAUGUGUGGUGUAGCGGUGAAAUGCAUAGAUAUUACACAGAACACCGAUUGCGAAGGCAGCUUGCGAGGCCGGAUCUGACACUGAUGCACGAAAGCGUGGGGAUCGAACAGGAUUAGAUACCCUUGUAGUC
rnacentral:rRNA from 1 species